rnacentral:rRNA from 1 species
CAACUUCUCAGAGUUG